UCAUCCUGAAAAAUAGAGCUGCAUCUGUCACAUUGUCAUCCUCCUCCAUCUGAAUUACCUACUUCAAAUAUUUAAAACGGGGAGGGGAAAGAAAAAAAAAAAAAGGUUUGGAUGAAAAAGUCUCGCCUGCCCAUUACUCCAAACCCAACUAGUAAUCGGCAGAGGUGUUGUCACGGAAACCGGCAGCCACUUUUAACAAUCAAACAUGCGUGACAGUUCAUUUUCGCUUCUGGAUUAGAAGUGUGAGCGCCGACGUGCGAACAGACAUCAAUUGGAUGGCAAAGACACAGACAUUUCACGACUAGAGGCACAGUGGAAAGAAUUAGCAACUACUAAUAAGAUCAGUGGGCGGCAGCUGUUCACUCACCAUCUUCAACAUCUGCUUAUCAUUUCGAACAAUUAAGGAAUUUAAAAUUCAGAUGCAGCAAUUCCGCAGCGCCACAUAACAAAAUAUUUACAUACUGGAGUUGCAGACAUGGAAAUCACAUAUCGAUCCAUCAUUUCUUCCUCUGCCUGUCAUCUCUCCCUGCAUACUGAAGAUAUCCUGCUUCUUUAAUAUGCACUUCAAUAUAAUGUUCAUGCAAAUCAUGUUAAAUAUUCAAUUCCACUCAGGCUGCCUAAGAGAUUCAUAAAUGUGGGCAAUGAAAAAUGUUAGCAUGGGUCAUAUUCGGGCCAGCCAUUGUGAAUUCAAAGGUUAACAUCAAAACCAUUGUACCAAAGAGAUUGACAGACGUGGUUAUGUGCAGAUAUUUCCAUAUUGCAUAAAGGGUUAUGGUCAUGUCUAGUCUCUUGGAGGCAUAAAGUACUGUACAUGAAUACACCUAUAUUCAUACCUCCAGCAUGGUGAAUAUGCACCAUACAUGUGCGUGACCGUGAUUGAGGAUUACAGCGAGAGACCAACCAGUAAAGUUAAAUAUAUGGUGUGAUUGCCAAGCCGUGACCUGUGUGAGAAAUAAAUUACAAUGCUGACAGAACAUCACAUCCUCUUAGCCUGGGGAGAAGCUGUAAGACGAGGUCCUCUGUGACACCAUUUCUUUGCGGAUUGUUAAAUGCCACUAUUUGAUCUUUUCCAUUUAUGAGUCAUAUUUUUUUCUGCUGCCCCUGAGCACUAUGCUGUGCUAAGCUACAUAGGACAGGCCAGUGAAACACUGAAACAACAAGCGACCUCCACCAUCGCAUUAUAGUUUCCAGUGAAUCUCCAAAGCAGAGUCUGAAGUUGUCUGACCUGUCAUGUUGAUGACUGAUUUUAGCAACAAAAAAAAAAGAAAUUGCAUUGAUUCACUCUUUUUUCCUUCGUCUUUAUUCCUCCUGAUGACAGACUCAUAGUCUCUCUUCCUCUCCCUUUCACACAUUCGCAGGCUGCCACCAACACAACAUACAUAAAGACAGUGGGAGAUGUCGAACACAGAGCAAAGAUUAGAGCUAUCUGUUGGAACAUUUUAUGUGUUCACUCUUUGACUUGUCUUUUUGUUUGGCGAAGGCUGCUCUCCCGCUGUGCCUGCCCUACGUUGGCUUCUCUUUUCUGUUCCAGAUGUACUCUCCACUUCAAAUAGCAUGGCGUAUUCAAUUUGACGAGCCCCGAGCUGACAGCCUGAUCGAGCCUGGUUCUUACCAUUCUGCAUCUCUUUCUUUUUCUUUUAUUUCCCCCUGCGUCUGGAGAGCUCCUCCCCAGAGAGCAGCACAACACCUCCUGUCACCUCACCUUCCAGUGCCCGCCGCCUCUCUCUGCCACUCUCACCUGUGGUACAACACUGCCCCCAAAGUCAACACCGAUCCCACUCAGUGGAAAUUGAGGGGGAACAUGAAUGAGCCGUGUGUUUGCUCACAGUCCUUUUGAGGAACCUUACAGCGAGAAGUGCCUCAAUUGAAAGCAGGAGAUGGAUUGGAGACCUCAGCAAUGUGCCUGGCAGUCAGUCAGGGCUGCACUGGGACUUUGGUUCCCAAACCAUCACAGGAGAGCUCCCUUCUGAUUUGUUUUGUUCAGGUUUGCUUUCACUGUUAAGACGUGGUUGUUACCGCAAAGUGUGCAGACCAUAAUAUAUGUAUAAGGGAGCAUGUACUGUACAAGCUUCACUUACUGUACAUACAUGUGUGCUCAGAGUCUUCCACAACCACAAACAAUUGAUUUUCCCCACAUGUACAUCAUCACUGCAGCAUAUUUGUCACUUAGGGAUGAUAAAAUGGGAGCACGCAGCUUACUACCACUCCCACCAAACUGUCUACUCUCAGAGUAGCAGCACACUUCCUCACAGUGCACAUUAACACAGGCAUUGACAGCUGAUGGAGAAGCAGUGGCCUCAUCGUGUCGCUGAAGUGAAGAGGAAUGAACAGUGUUGUUUACAAGAUGUCAAUAAAUGUUUUGAGUUAUUGAUA